UAAAAUAUCCGGCCAGGUCGUUACAUGCGUGCGUUCUUCCGAGUUUAACGCGUAGUUACAAAAGUAACUCUUUGAUGCAAUUCUCAUCCUUACCAGUGACUCCCUCGUGCUUUCUCUGCGAAAAUUCAUAGUUCCUUAAUUUCCUCCUCUAUUGCUCCAUCUUUUAUGUUGUUUUCUGGUAUUAUUAAGUUUUGCUGCGUUCUCUAUGGAGCUAUAAAGUAAGUUCAAUCUUUUACUCUUUUGUUCUUCCAAUUUUAUGUUCUUUUGCAUAUAUCUGGAUCUGGUAUUCUUGGAAUCCUUCUCUACUCACAUGUUCUACUGCAUUAGAAUGGUAUUAAUUGGGUAAAAUGGUUGGUGGACGGUCUCUCUUUUCUGUAUUCCCGUCUCAGUUGUUUUUAUGCCCUUUAUUUUGCGUCUUUGCUCUUUUUAUGGUUUAAUCUUAAUUUUUCAUUUUUUUCAAAUUUGUCCAAGUGCAAUAAGAAUGGACUUUGAGUUUGUUAUUUUACCCACUACAUUUCGACUUGCAUUAGAGGUGUUUGUGAUAUUGCCCAAAAGAAAUCACGACUAUCUGUGGGCUCGGUUAGGGACCUCUUAAACUAGUUAACUUUGGUUAAAAAUAAAAUACCUUUAUAAUAUGUUAUCUCGAAAGUGGUAUCAAAGUAUUUAAUCUUCAUGAAAUUAAAUAUCAUCGACAAGUAUUGAUCACUGUAAUUUUGAAGGAAAUAUUUACAACAACUAAUACAUAAACAACUGCUUCUACAUCUAUGUACAACCAUCUUGCUCUAUGCAGCUUUAACUGACUAUACAAUAUUUCUUCGUUGGACUUACUACAUCUUUUUUGUAAAUUUUCUGCAAUAUUAUUUUUUUGUAAUUAUAUAUACCGAAGUCGAAGUAGUUCAUUUUCAGUCCUUUCUAGUAAUUGUCAAACUGUGUUAUAUUUGCCAUUCAAUAACUCAGUAGUAAUUAUAUGAUUUCUGAAUAUUUUUUGCAUUAGAUGACCCUCCUCCAAUGUAUCUUUGUUUGACUUCUGAACUCAUUCUUAAAAGAUAUAGCUAGAUGUGUAUCGCAUUUGACUAAAAGAUUAAAACAAAAUAGAUAUCUCAGUCUUCUGAACUUCGAUGAAAGGUGACAUAUUUUAUUCUAUUGCAGUCGCAAAGCAUUUUACAGAUGCAGAAAUUAUUGAAGAGAUGUUGAUCUUCAUGACUAGCGCCAUAUACUCUUUUUGGCAGAAUUAUUAUGAUAUUGAGCAUCUUUAAGACAUUCCCCGAAAGAAGGAGAAUUGGAUAUUUGAAUGGGAAGCUGAUUAAUUAUCUUAGAAUGUUUUCUAUUUAACUUGUAAAAAUAUAUAAGAAUACUUUAUACCUAAUUUACCAAAAUAUCUUAUUGUUUUUCCUCCAAGUCUUUGUUGAUGAAAAGUGCCAUUGUUCAUCAGUGCUUGUGCUGCCAAGGA
rnacentral:lncRNA from 1 species